ACUGAAAGAAGUCGAUCGCUAAAGUG
rnacentral:sRNA from 1 species